ACAUACGACCAUACCCAUUGGAAAACUCGGGAUCCCGUCCGCUCUCCCAUAGAUAAGCUCGGAGUAGUAGUCAGGUCGGUGACGAGACUGGCGAAUGCCCGGUGUUGUAUGUU
rnacentral:rRNA from 2 species